GACGAACGCUGGCGGCGUGCUUAACACAUGCAAGUCGAACGGAAAGGCCCUGCUUUUGUGGGGUGCUCGAGUGGCGAACGGGUGAGUAACACGUGAGUAACCUGCCCUUGACUUUGGGAUAACUUCAGGAAACUGGGGCUAAUACCGGAUAGGAGCUCCUGCUGCAUGGUGGGGGUUGGAAAGUUUCGGCGGUUGGGGAUGGACUCGCGGCUUAUCAGCUUGUUGGUGGGGUAGUGGCUUACCAAGGGUUUGACGGGUAGCCGGCCUGAGAGGGUGACCGGCCACAUGGGGACUGAGAUACGGCCCAGACUCCUACGGGAGGCAGCAGUGGGGAAUAUUGCACAAUGGGCGGAAGCCUGAUGCAGCAACGCCGCGUGCGGGAUGACGGCCUUCGGGUUGUAAACCGCUUUCGCCUGUGACGAAGCGUGAGUGACGGUAAUGGGUAAAGAAGCACCGGCUAACUACGUG
rnacentral:rRNA from 1 species